rnacentral:sRNA from 1 species
AUUGGAUUUUACAAAAUAAAGAAAUAAAAAAUAUACAAUUGUCAAGUUAAGAAUUUUGUUUAGGAAAAGUGAAAAGUCAAAUAAAAUGGAAUUUAGAUUGUCAAUGAAGAUUGUUAAAAUCUUCCCAAAACUAGAACCAACUUUUCCAAAAUCUUGAAUGAGUAAAAAAUGAGUUUUUUAAAAACAAAAACUAGUAAAACAUUCAAGGCCAAUCAAGGAUCCUAAAAAAAUAGAAAACUCAGUUUUUGAUGGCUUUUACAAAUUUUUAAACAAAAUCCAAAAUCUAUUUCCAAAAGAUUUUGAGAAUGUGAUGCAACUUCUUUUUGUUUUUCACUUUUUUUUUUACUUUGAUCAAUUUCCUAAAUCUUUUAGUGCUCAAUCUUUUGUUCUAGGCAAAAAUUAGUGGGCCAAGCGAGAAUGGCUACCAGGUCAUUUCGGUCUAUUGUUAUAAUGGCCGAAAUGUUGAUAAUGUGUAAUCAACGAGGGUUAAAAAGAAGCAAGAUAAUUUGGUCGCCGGUUGAGCAUAACAUGUUAUCAUUCAUGCUAUAACCAACCAAACUGUAUUAUACCUAAACGAAGCCUCUUAUAAAAUUGGCAUGUAGAGUGAAGUGAGCCACUCAAACCAAAAUAUGUACAAAAUUAGCAAUGGAAGCAGCAAAAAGAAUCACACUACAAGUUUCAGCUCACAACAUGUAAUGUAGCUUAUCUAAACACCCUAGAAAAGAAGCUAUAAUAUUUGCCACUAAAAAUACGCUAUAAUAUUUGCCACUAGACAAUCGCUAUAAUAUUCACCACCAAACACCAGUCACAUAGUCUGUGAUAAGGCACUAAACACCAGUCCUAUAGUCUGUGAUAAGAUUUUGUCCCAGUUGAUUCUUCUCUACAGACUUUGAACCAUACUUUUCUCUAUAGAAAGGAGACCUUGCAGUCUUCAUUGCUCCUGUUAUGGCAAAGCCAAAAAACAAAAACAAAAGUGCGAAUCAACAACACAGUAAUUAUCUACAAAUUCUCUGUUUUUGAAGCAACGACUUAAUCCUGUUUCUUUUUCCCAGGCCAUUACAUCGUCUGUGAUAACAGUUCCUUCCAUUGGUUUCUUCUUGUGAGAAAAUUAAACCAGCAAAUAGGACUUUAUAUAGUUACCGGGGUGAGAGAUGAUAUAACUUUUAUGUCAAAAAAAUGAACCUUCUUGGUGUUAUCUUAUCUACGUAUGUAUGAUGAGACUCUUAUGUCUGAUUUGUUGUGUAGGAAAUCACAUGGCAACAACUUGAUUAUCUUCGGACAACAAGUGAUGCAGAUAUAUGUCUAAAAUCGUACAUGGUUUGCACCUUUUGUGUUGUGAGUAAUAUUUUUUAUAUAUCAUCCACAUAUAAAUUGGGCAAUUUCCAUUAUUUGUGCAUAACAAUAUAAUUUAUCAAAUAGAAAUUUAUCUUAUUUCAUUGUUUCUCGAAUCUUGAUACUAUUUAUCUAUAGUACGGUAAGACUCUAAUGUUAUUACUGCAGCACUCGGACCCAGAUUCUGAUCUUGACUUUGAGCUCCUGCUACUUCACCAAGAUCAUGAUCUUGAACUGCUGCUCACAGAUUCUGAUCUUGACCUUGAGCUGCUGCUACUUCACCAAGAUCAUGAUCUUGAACUGCUGCUCACGGAUUCUGAUUUUGACCUUGAGCUGCUGCCACUUCACCAAGAUCAUGACCUUGAACUGCUGCUCCCGGAUUCUGAGUUUGACUUUGAACUGCUGCCACUUCACCAAAGUUAUGACUUUGAGCUGCUGCUUCCAGAUUCUGAGUUUGACCUUGAUCUGCUGUGCUUGGUGAUCUUUUUGGUAAUAAAUUUUUAAUGCAAAGUAUUAUUAUAUAACUUUUUUUUAUCUUUUUUUAACAGAAAUGUUCUUUUAUUUUUAUUUUUAGUUUAGUUGAAAUUAUUAAAAAUAAUCUAUAAUGCAAAAGUACUACUAUAUAAUUAUUUUUAUUUUUAGUAAUGUAAAAGUACUAAUGUAUCACUUUUUCAUUUACAUCAUUUUUUAUAUUUUGGUAAAAAAAAUUAUAUGUUUGAUGAUAGUUAUUAAAUAUUAUCAUAU